ACUAACAUGUUAAGUUUCUCUUUCCUCAGAUGAACCUCUAUAGCUACUGAACUCCAGUAAACCAACAACCUAUCCGCUGGACUGCAUGCCGUUGAAGAUGUCCAUCGAAAAUAGCUCCAUAAUAUUGGGCCAUGUGUCAAAUCAUAGGACUCUGGAAUCAACUCUGGCUUCAAACUCUGCACAGAAAUCAUUGUCUCAACACAGUGAGUGGGGGUUUGUCUUCUUCCUGGGAGGACAUUCAAAUCAAAUAUGCAGGAACCGUCUCAUGAGGAAUGAGGUUUGAGUUGGAUGUUUUCCUUGCCCCAGAAUUGUGGUUUCUUAUUCCAGUCCUUGGGGUACACAACACACUGCACACAUUAAUGUGUUCCAUAUA